AGCCCUAGCUGGGAGGGGCAGGGCGCAGGGGCGCGCCCGGGUGUGCUCGAGCGUGCACUGGCGGCUUCCCGGGCGCCCGGGCGUCUCUCGCGCUGUGUUUUGGCGGCGCCCGGCGUCUUCGUUUGCAUGUGAGAAGAGCCGAAAGCACAGAGCUACAGGCGAAUACAAGUGGAUUUUUUUUUCUUUUUCUGUUUUUUUUAUUAUAAGUAAUAGUUGCUGCAUUUUGAAAAAUCAAGAGGAAAAGAGUUAACAGGAAGAAAAGUUCGAGUGUCUCUGUUGCCCAGGCUGGAAUGCAGUGGUGCAAACAUGGCUCACUACAGCCUCAACCUCCUGGCCUCAAGUGAUCCUUCUGCCUCUACUUCCUGAGUAACUUUGGUCACAGAGACAUAGUUUCCCUAUGUUGCCCAGGCUGGUCUUGAACUACUGGUCUCAAGUGAUCCUCCUGCCUUGACCUCCCAAAAUGCUGGAAUUACAGGGCUGGGCUUACACCCAAUUUAUGGUCAUCUUGCUCAUGUUCAUCCUGCACAAUUUCUAGCAUUUGGAGAAUGUUUCUCAUGGUAGCAUCUAAUGCCUGUGGCUGCUGUCUGAGAGAAAGCAGUGAUGAGGGGAAGACACUGACCUCUGUUUGGCACUGCUUCUUGCUGCUGCCAUAUGAAGAAGGACGUGUUUGCUUCCCCUUCCUCCAUGAUUGUAAGUUUCCUGAGGCCUCGCCAGCCAUGCUGAACUGAAUACAACAUGUUUAAGACCACAGGACAUCUGCAUAGGCUGUAAAUUUCGUUAAAUGAUGGAUGCAAAGAUGGAAGACCGAUGGAGAGAGGAAAAGACAGAAUCAGAUACUGGAUGAGUUAGUACUGCUGCCUGUGCUUCAGAGCUGACUUGUUACCACAAGGCCGGCAAGCAUCAAUGUCCCCACAUCCCCCUCUGCCUCCCCCUGAAAUGUACCGAUUUAUAUGAAAAUUAAGAUUACAAAUUAAAGCCUGGCUAUCCUGGAGUUUUCCAGUUCAUCAGCCAUCCAAUAAAAAUGAUGUCAAGCCUGUAUGCAUAAUUCCCAGAAGAUUACUUUCGUCCUUACAGCUAAGCCCUGUCCCUGAUAUGAAAGAUCUCUAUCCACUUUUAUUGAAAUAAAGAACUAACAUCAUAA